rnacentral:rRNA from 1 species
GAUGAACGCUGGCGGCGUGCCUAAUACAUGCAAGUCGAGCGAACGGAUGAUAAGCUUGCUUCUCUGAUGUUAGCGGCUGACGGGUGAGUAACACGUAGAUAACCUACCUAUAAUACUUGGAGAACUUCGGGAAACCGGAGCUAAUACCAGAUAAUAUUUUGAACCGCAUGGUUCAAAAGUGAAAGACGGUCUUCCUGUCACUUAUAGAUGGAUCCGCGCUGCAUUAGCUAGUUGGUAAGGUAACGGCUUAACAAGGCAACGAUGCAUAGCCGACCUGAGAGGGUGAUCGGCCACCCUGGAAAUGAGACACGGUCCCGACUCCUAAGGGAGGCAGCAGUAGGGAAUCUUCCGCAAUGGGCGAAAGCCUGACGGAGCCAAGCCGGGUGAGUGAUGAAGGUCUUCGGAUCGUAAAACUCUGUUAUUAGGGAAGAACAUAUGUGUAAGUAACUGUGCACAUCUUGACGGUAACUAAUAAGAAAGCCACGGCUAACCACGUG